AGUGAAUAGAUACCCAGGUAGUCCUAGCCGUAAACGAUACUCGCUAGGUGUCGGCCACGGUGCGACCGUUGUCGGUGCCGUAGGGAAAGCCGUGAAGCGAGCCACCUGGGAAGUACGGCCGCAAGGCUGAAACUUAAGGAAUUGGCGGGGGAGCACCACAACGGGUGGAGCUUGCGGUUUAAAUUGGAUUCAACGCCGGAAAUCUUACCGGGACCGACAGCAAUAUGAAGGCCAGGCUGAAGACUUUGCCGGAUUAGCUGAGAGGUGGUGCAUGGCCGUCGUCAGUUCGUACUGUGAAGCAUCCUGUUAAGUCAGGCAACGAGCGAGACCCACGCCCACAGUUGCCAGCGUACUCUCCGGAGUGACGGGUACACUGUGGGGACCGCGCUGCUAAAGCGGAGGAAGGAAUGGGCAACGGUAGGUCAGUAUGCCCCGAAUAUCCCGGGGCUACACGCGAGCUACAAUGGUUGGUACAAUGGGUAUCUACCCCGAAAGGGGAUGGAAAUCUCCUAAAGCCAAUCUAGUUCGGAUUGAGGGCUGCAACUCGCCCUC
rnacentral:rRNA from 1 species